GAUGAACGCUGGCGGCGUGCCUAAUACAUGCAAGUCGAGCGAACAGAUGAGGAGCUUGCUCCUCUGACGUUAGCGGCGGACGGGUGAGUAACACGUGGAUAACCUACCUAUAAGACUGGGAUAACUUCGGGAAACCGGAGCUAAUACCGGAUAAUAUAUUGAACCGCAUGGUUCAAUAGUGAAAGACGGUUUUGCUGUCACUUAUAGCUGGAUCCGCGCCGCAUUAGCUAGUUGGUAAGGUAACGGCUUACCAAGGCAACGAUGCGUAGCCGACCUGAGAGGGUGAUCGGCCACACUGGAACUGAGACACGGUCCAGACUCCUACGGGAGGCAGCAGUAGGGAAUCUUCCGCAAUGGGCGAAAGCCCGACGGAGCAACGCCGCGUGAGUGAUGAAGGUCUUCGGAUCGUAAAACUCUGUUAUUAGGGAAGAACAAAUGUGUAAGUAACUAUGCACGUCUUGACGGUACCUAAUCAGAAAGCCACGGCUAACUACGUG
rnacentral:rRNA from 1 species